ensembl:lncRNA
UAGGGCAGGUACUUUUGUCUAGUUCCUGUCCCUUGGAAGUGAGGACGGAGAUAAUAGUAACAUAAUAUUCAGUGCGGUCUAAUUUGAGUAUAAUGAAGUCUGUAUCUUGUGAGGUUUUCUGUCCUCAGAUACAGAGAGCUGUGAAAGCCUGUCUGCAGAUGAAGAGGUCUCAGUGAAGAGCAGUGGCUCUCAGUCCUCAGAUACAGAGAGCUGUGAAAGCCUGUCUGCAGAUGAAGAGGUCCCAAUGAAGAGCAGUGGCUCUCAGUCCUCAGAUACAGAGAGCUGUGAAAGCCUGUCUGCAGAUGAAGAGGUCUCAGUGAAGAGCAGUGGCUCUCAGUCCUCAGAUACAGAGAGCUGUGAAAGCCUGUCUGCAGAUGAAGAGGUCUCAGUGAAGAGCAGUGGCUCUCAGUCCUCAGAUACAGAGAGCUGUGAAAGCCUGUCUGCAGAUGAAGAGGUCUCAGUGAAGAGCAGUGGCUCUCAGUCCUCAGAUACAGAGAGCUGUGAAAGUCUGUCUGCAGAUGAAGAGGUCUCAGUGAAGAGCAGUGGCUCUCAGUCCCGGUCCUGGGGACUCAAAGAGGGGCACAUUGUUGUUUUUGCCAUCUAAUUCAAAUGAUCAACUCAUCAUCAAGCUUCAGAUACUUUGUAACUGGAGAGUCCUUGAAAACGAUUUCCUAUAGUUACCGAGUGGGGCACUGCAAGGUUGGGAGACCAGAGCCAUCUAGGACUGCCUCCUGGGGGAAUUCAGGUGUGUGAAGGCUACCUGUGUCCUGCGUAACUUCAUGAGGAUGGACACGAAGACCAGGAGGGGAUCUGCAGCUCACCGUUGUGUCCCAGAGGAGAAGUCUGCUGUUCUGCAGGAGGGGAUCUGCAGCUCACCGCCGCGUGCCAGAGGAGAAGUCUGCUGCUCUGCAGGAUGUUUCAAGGAUGGGCUCCAACAAUGCAGCAAGAGAGGCAACCUGUGUGUGGGAGAUUUUCAUUCUCCUACUUCUUCGAAGAGGGUGCUGUUCCCUGGCAACACCAUAGACUACACUAUGCACAACCAAAGGCUCUUUGAAGAGGGUGCUGUUCCCUGGCAACACCAUAGACUACACUAUGCACAACCAAAGGCUCUUUUAAGAGGGUGCUGUUCCCUGGCAACACCAUAGACUACACUAUGCACAACCAAAGGCUCUUUUAAGAGGGUGCUGUUCCCUGGCAACACCAUAGACUACACUAUGCACAACCAAAGGCUCUUUGAAGAGGGUGCUGUU